UCUCCGUAGGUGAACCUGCGGAGGGAUCAUUACAGAGUUCAUGCCCUCACGGGUAGAUCUCCCACCCUUGUGUAUUCAUACCUUUGUUGCUUUGGCAGGCCGCUGGGCUUCGGCCUGGCCACCGGCUCCCGGGCUGGUGCGUGCCUGCCAGGGGACCUCCAAACCCUGUUUGUCAGUGUCGUCUGAGUAUUAUACAAUCGUUAAAACUUUCAACAACGGAUCUCUUGGUUCUG
rnacentral:misc_RNA from 1 species